GACGGGGGCCCGCACAAGCGGUGGAGCAUGUGGUUUAAUUCGACGCAACGCGAAGAACCUUACCUGGGCUUGACAUCUGCGGAAUUUCUAUGAAAGUAGGAAGUGCCUUCGGGAGCCGCAAGACAGGUGCUGCAUGGCUGUCGUCAGCUCGUGUCGUGAGAUGUUGGGUUAAGUCCCGCAACGAGCGCAACCCUUAUCUUUAGUUACCAUCAUUCAGUUGGGGACUCUAAAGAUACUGCCCCGGUCAACGGGGAGGAAGGUGGGAUGACGUCAAGUCCUCAUGGCCCUUAUGUCCAGGGCUACACACGUGCUACAAUGGGCAGUACAAAGGGUAGCAAGCCUGCGAAGGUGAGCCAAUCUCAAAAAGCUGUUCGUAGUUCGGAUUGGAGCCUGCAACUCGACUCCAUGAAGCUGGAAUCGCUAGUAAUCGCGGAUCAGCAUGCCGCGGUCGAAUACGUUCCCGGGCCUU
rnacentral:rRNA from 1 species